CCCGGCGGCUAUGCCGGAGGGGCCACACCCGUUCCCAUUCCGAACACGGAAGUUAAGCCCUCCAGGGCCGAUGGUACUGCGGUGGUAACGCCGUGGGAGAGUAGGUCGCCGCCGGGA
rfam:Armatimonadetes bacterium CSP1-3 XT14_C0001, whole genome shotgun sequence.